UACGAAGGGUGCAAACGUUGCUCGGAAUCAUUGGGCGUAAAGCGCACGUAGGCGGCCUUGUAAGUCGGACGUGAAAUCCCACGGCUCAACCGUGGAAGUGCAUCCGAAACUGCAAGGCUCGAGUAUGGAAGAGGGUCGCAGAAUUCCCGGUGUAGAGGUGAAAUUCGUAGAUAUCGGGAGGAAUACCAGUGGCGAAGGCGGCGACCUGGGCCAAUACUGACGCUGAGGUGCGAAGGCGUGGGGAUCAAACAGG
rnacentral:rRNA from 1 species